ensembl:piRNA 21ur-10348 ncRNA
UGCACAUAAGUUCUUGGAUUU